UAGUCUCGAUCAUCCAGCCGCUUUAUUUUUCAAAGUAGAGCGUCUGGAUGACAAGUGAUAUAAAAAUGGUAAUUUAUGACAUUCGGAAUAGUAUCGGCUUUUUUAGCUUGUUUUUAAAGAUAAUGUCCAAGACGAAUAACCAAGAAGUUGGUUAUUGACUUCGGAAGAAAUUAUAUUACGAUAAUACUAUUGAAAAGCCCGAGUGUACCGAUUGUUGUUUAAAGCUAUUUAUAUUUUGUUUGUGACGACAUACAAGUCGUGGAAAACACCAGACAGCAUGGCUUCCAUGACCGCGAAGGAAAAUAACAGCACAUCAAACCUUGGUAAGAUGAUAUAACAACACAAACUGUUACAUAAAUUUUAAUGCAAACUGAAACAGCGAGUAGUUAUAUAUUCUUUCAUGCAUGUCCGUGCUACGUAAGCAAGUUACUAAUUAUACAAUAAAUGGCAAUUUUUGUAUUGACUGGGACCACUCGAACAGUCGUGUGUACGCUAUAAAUACAUUUUGGGGUUGUUAACUUUAAAAAUACUUGAUGGAAAAGUGAUAUGACGCCGAAAUAUGAACUUCAUCCAAGAUAAGUUUGUUGUAUUUAUAUGUAGUGUAUAAAGGAGUUUGCAUUUUGAUAUGUGUAAAAAAAAAGGGGGGGAGGAGAGAUGCGCAAUGUUGUACACAUUUGAAGGAGGGAACGCAAUUCAAAAACAUAAGCAGACGAAAAACAAACAAAGUAUAUCUAGAAGAUGCCACUGAUUUUGUACAUACACCAAACGGUCAAAAUGAUUUAUGCUCGAUUUUUUUUUAAAACAAAUGCAUUUAGCUUAUACAAACAUUAUAAGAAGUGCGACACGUUGUUAUGAAAAGUAAUUUAAAUAUACUGUUACUAAACAAAGUCUUGACUGGUCAACUUAAAAAAGAAAAAUACUUUUUUGCACUUUUAAGAGGCAUUUUUUUCCACACUAAAAAAGUCCAUAAAAGAAUACAAAUGUUGUCAGUGAAUAUAUACCAAUUGGUUAUCUAAACCUUGAAACAAAACCAUGGCAUGAGGAAUACACUGUAAAUUUGUUUUUAUGCAAAACAAGACAGUAAAACAAUAGAUGCAGCAUCAACGAAAGGAGGUGUCAAUGAGGCAGCAACCGGUGAACCCAAUGACAUACAUUACAAAAGUAGACAUCAAUAUGAUUAAGAGGACAUCUUGUUGACUUCAACAAAAAUUGAGAAUAAAAGUACCAAAAGGUCAACAUUAUACAAGUAAGAACAUGCGGUAUGAAUACCAAUGAGACAACUAUCCACCCCAAGUUCAAAGGAGGUGGAUGAGAGCAAGUAUAGGCAACUGUAUGGCCCUUAACAAUGAUAAAAUUCAUGCAUGAUUUUGAUAGAGAAUACAGACAGGGAAUGUGUCAAAGAAACAUCAACCCGACAAAAGAGCAGGAAACAACUCAAUGCCACCAAUGGGUCGUGUCAUCACCACAGCGAGAUAAUCUCGCAUCCCGUAUUUCUAAAUGUAUAUUUCUAUAUGAUGUUUUUUUCCAAACAUUUUGUUUUUCAUAUAUGCUAUGCUGGUGACCAAAAAUUAUUAGGAUUAAUAUGAUAUUAACAUUUACUUUAUUUUGUAGACAAACCAAUGAUGAUUUCGGGACACAGAUGUUAUGUGUAAAAUGUGAAGAAUUUAAAAAAAUCUAUAUAAAUAUUCGAAUUUUCAUUGUAUCAUAAACAGCUUCAAUUUUAUAAGAAAAAAGAUUCAAAGAUUUUUUUUUAAUUACUGAAGCAGCAAUCAUUAUAAAUAAAUCACAGUAUCAAAAAUGUUGGGUUAACAUUAUUUUGACAGCAACCACAAAGCGAAAAAAGGUACACAGACAUAUAUUAAGUAAAUGAAACAAACAUCAAGAAACACAUUGUUGUCAGAUAUGUCGGAGAAUUUUAAAGAUUUGUAUUAACAAAUUAAAAAUCAUAUAAACAAUUUAACAGUUUUCAUGUUUGCGUUGUAUCUCAUUUACAUGUCUGGCCCUUCUCAGUUAACUAUAUGGUAUGGAGUUUUCUUAAUAUUGGAGGCCGAGCAGUGAUUAUAUUUGCGAAUAUCCAUGUCAUUUGAAC
rnacentral:lncRNA from 1 species